rnacentral:rRNA from 1 species
UUGCCCCUACGGGAGGCAGCAGUGGGGAAUAUUGCGCAAUGGGCGAAAGCCUGACGCAGCGACGCCGCGUGAGGGAUGAAGGUCUUCGGAUCGUAAACCUCUGUCAGCAGGGAAGAACGGUCACUGUGCUAAUCAGCAGUGAAUUGACGGUACCUGCAAAGGAAGCACCGGCUAACUCCGUGCCAGCAGCCGCGGUAAUACGGAGGGGGCGAGCGUUAAUCGGAAUUACUGGGCGUAAAGCGCUCGUAGGCGGUAUGUCAAGACAAGGGGGAAAUCCGCGCGCUCAACGUG